rnacentral:rRNA from 1 species
CCUACGGGAGGCAGCAGUGAGGAAUAUUGGUCAAUGGACGAGAGUCUGAACCAGCCAAGUAGCGUGAAGGAUGACGGCCCUAUGGGUUGUAAACUUCUUUUAUAAGGGAAUAAAACGUGCCACGAGUGGGAUUUGGUAUGUACCAUAUGAAUAAGGAUCGGCUAACUCCGUGCCAGCAGCCGCGGUAAUACGGAGGAUCCGAGCGUUAUCCGGAUUUAUUGGGUUUAAAGGGAGCGUAGGUGGAUUUUUAAGUCAGUUGUGAAAGUGUGCGGCUCAACCGUAAAAUUGCAGUUGAAACUGGCGGUCUUGAGUACAGUAGCGGUGGGCGGAAUUCGUGGUGUAGCGGUGAAAUGCUUAGAUAUCACGCAGAACUCCGAUUGCGAAGGCAGUUCACUGGACUGCAACUGACACUGAGGCACGAAAGUGUGGGGAUCAAACAGGAUUAGAUACCCGGGUAGUC